GUACGUCACGCAUCACGUGAUCAAUUUUGGCGCAAAAUGUAUCACGAGCGCAGUGAAUGUCGGGAGUUAAUCGAGAAUGCCGAAAGUGUAACGACGGACAUUGCCUGGUAUCAAUGAGAAUAUUCAAUGAGCAACGGAACGACCUGACGAGAAAUUGACGGCGAGAACAUAUUUCUCUCAACCGAAACAGUGCACAAUUAGGAAUCGUCAAGUGGAUCUUGUAAUUAAUUAAAAUUGUUUGAUAUCCAUGCGAAUGUUCAAUGAUCAACGGAGCGACCUGACGAGAAAUUGGCG